AUCUAUAGAACCUCCCAUACAAUUUUUACAACGCACCAAAUAUUUUAAGAAGACAUCUAAACCAUACGGUUUUUUGUAAACCAAAUCCUUUACCAUGUAGCUGGCCAAAACAAAAACUGGAAGCAAACAUGGAUUUUCAAGUGUUUGAGACCAGCAUGACCAAAUAUCACCACCUUGAACACAAUUGUGAAUGAAAUAUUCAAUCUUACAUAAUCCACACCCUGAAGAAGUAAUCAUGCAUUUAUUUCUGAAUUGCACUGAUGCUCUCUGCUGCAGCUUCUUCUGCCCCAAAACACAAUCCCUGAACAGGUUGUUUUCUCUAGUCUCGGCCCUUCAAUUUUAUCCUGAUCUACAGAUGAUGUUUGUGAACGACGAGGGUAUUCAUCUUGAUUUUCUACAGUUCCAGGUUCAAAAGAUGGACACGGGCCAUCAUUGCAGGUGCAUAAAGGGAUUGCAACAGAAGGAAAUGGACUACAAGUAACCGGACAGAUAAAAUCAGAAGAAACUGAUGCCACGCGAUUCUUUCGGAUCUCUGGCACACAUGCUGGAGAUUGCCCAUCUGUAUCACGAGAGUGAAGCAUGCAUGGGGUACAGAGGCCAA
rnacentral:misc_RNA from 1 species